AGUGAACGCUGGCGGCAUGCCUAACACAUGCAAGUCGAACGGCAGCACAGUAAGAGUUUGCCUCUACGGGUGGCGAGUGGCGGACGGGUGAGGAAUACAUCGGAUUCUUCUAUUUCGUGGGGAACUACGUAGAGAAAGUGAUGAUACUACAGAAUAUAUCCAACGGCUGGAAUCAGGAGUUAUUGACACUUUGGGUGUUAGAAUGAGCCGAUGCCGGAUUAGCUAGUUGGCUAGGUAAAGGCCCACCAAGGCAACGAUCCGUAGCCGGUCUGAGAGGAUGAUCGGCCACACUGGAACUGAGACACGGUCCAGACUCCUACGGGAGGCAGCAGUAGGGAAUAUUCGACAAUGGGCGAAAGCCUGAUGCAGCCAUACCGCGUGAGUGAUGAAGGUCUUCGGGUUGUAAAACCCUGUUAUUAGGGAAGAAAAACAGUGUAUUUAUACCCGGCUGUUCUGACGGUACCCAAACAGUAAGCACCGGCUAACUUCGUG
rnacentral:rRNA from 1 species